rnacentral:rRNA from 1 species
UGGGGAGCGAACAGGAUUAGAUACCCUGGUAGUCCAUGCCGUAAACGUUGGGCACUAGGUGUGGGACUCAUUCCACGAGUUCCGUGCCGCAGCUAACGCAUUAAGUGCCCCGCCUGGGGAGUACGGCCGCAAGGCUAAAACUCAAAGGAAUUGACGGGGGCCCGCACAAGCGGCGGAGCAUGCGGAUUAAUUCGAUGCAACGCGAAGAACCUUACCAAGGCUUGACAUGCACCGGACGCUGCCAGAGAUGGUGGUUCCGCAAGGUCGGUGCACAGGUGGUGCAUGGUUGUCGUCAGCUCGUGUCGUGAGAUGUUGGGUUAAGUCCCGCAACGAGCGCAACCCUUGUCCUAUGUUGCCAGCGGGUUAUGCCGGGGACUCAUGGGAGACUGCCGGGGUCAACUCGGAGGAAGGCGGGGAUGACGUCAAAUCAUCAUGCCCCUUAUGUCUUGGGCUUCACGCAUGCUACAAUGGCCGGUACAGAGGGCUGCGAUACCGUAAGGUGGAGCGAAUCCCAAAAAGCCGGUCUCAGUUCGGAUUGGGGUCUGCAACUCGACCCCAUGAAGUCGGAGUCGCUAGUAAUCGCAGAUCAGCAACGCUGCGGUGAAUACGUUCCCGGGCCUUGUACACACCGCCCGUCAAGUCACGAAAGUUGGUAACACCCGAAGCUCACGGC